UACGGAGGGUGCAAGCGUUGUCCGGAAUUAUUGGGCGUAAAGAGCUCGUAGGCGGUUUGUCGCGUCUGCUGUGAAAACUCGGGGCUUAACCCCGGGCCUGCAGUGGGUACGGGCAGCCUAGAGUGCGGUAGGGGAGACUGGAAUUCCUGGUGUAGCGGUGAAAUGCGCAGAUAUCAGGAGGAACACCGGUGGCGAAGGCGGGUCUCUGGGCCGUAACUGACGCUGAGGAGCGAAAGCGUGGGGAGCGAACAGG
rnacentral:rRNA from 1 species